rnacentral:tRNA from 1 species
AAAUAAGAAGCAAAAUUUGCAAUUAGUUUCGACCUAAUCUUUGAUAUUAAAAUAAUAUCCUUAUUUU